GAUGAACGCUGGCGGCGUGCUUAACACAUGCAAGUCGAACGGAAAGGCUCCUGCUUGCAGGGGUACUCGAGUGGCGAACGGGUGAGUAACACGUGGGUGAUCUGCCCUGCACUUCGGGAUAAGCCUGGGAAACUGGGUCUAAUACCGGAUAGGACGAUGGUUUGGAUGCCAUUGUGGAAAGUUUUUCGGUGUGGGAUGAGCUCGCGGCCUAUCAGCUUGUUGGUGGGGUAAUGGCCUACCAAGGCGUCGACGGGUAGCCGGCCUGAGAGGGUGUACGGCCACAUUGGGACUGAGAUACGGCCCAGACUCCUACGGGAGGCAGCAGUGGGGAAUAUUGCACAAUGGGCGCAAGCCUGAUGCAGCGACGCCGCGUGGGGGAUGACGGCCUUCGGGUUGUAGACUCCUUUCGCUAGGGACGAAGCGUUUUGUGACGGUACCUGGAGAAGAAGCACCGGCUAACUACGUG
rnacentral:rRNA from 1 species